UGUGUAAGCGCAGCGAUGCGUUGAGCUAACAGGUACUAAUGAACCGUGAGGCUUAACCUUACAACGCCGAAG
rnacentral:rRNA from 1 species